rnacentral:lncRNA from 1 species
AGUCUCCUCGGGACUGUCACCUUACCAUUGCCCCCACAAUGGGCCCCAGUGGGAAGCUGGCCUGUUGUUUUUUGCCUUGAGUCUUUGGCUGAUCUACAUGGGAAAGGCACAUCCCCAGCUACAGAACCAGCACAACGUGGACUAUGUAAUAUUCAAGGGUAUAUGUCCCUUCUCCAUCUCAUAGAUCCCCUUCCACCGCCUUGACACUGAAGAGCAACCUCCCCAUCACUCCUUUCUCAUUGUUCCUGGGUUUCUCUCUGAGACUGCGAGGGCGUAGAAUGAGGAAUGAAAAAGACUUGCAACCCCAUCUCACCAUGAAGGAGAAUCACAAUCACGGGUUGCUGAGAACAUGAGAAUAACUCAACUGGGCAGAUUGUGUGAGCUGGAGCGGAGGUGGAGGUCAGGACGCCAAGAUGGAAUUUUCUGGCUUUUCUGCACACUGGGGACAGUUGCAGGGCUGUCUAGAUCCCACAGAGCUCAACAAUAUGCCUGACUCACCACCCCUCUGAGGCUGCCCAGCCCACAGGUGACAGUGUCAGGGCUGCGGCCACCCGCCUGGUUCUGCCACUCAGCGACCUUGGACAAGGCCCUCCU